GUGUUGUUUCCCUCAUACAAAGGUAGAUUGGAAGCAAUAACCCUGCACAUCUUCCACAAUCCCGACCUGUUCAAGGCCUACAGUUCAGAAGGACAUUUGAAAGAAGCAGAAAUUCAGUUUGGAGAUAAUCCAUCAGCUCGACUAAGGCAGUCACCAUCCCAUAGCCACCACCAAAAGCCAGUUUGAAAUGGAUCAAGUGAAUCAGUUUCCUCCAAGUCUGUCUGGAGUAGUACUAUAGCUGUUUGAGACUUCCAGUGGGAUGCUUAUGGAUUGUAGUUCUUUGUGUAAGUUGCAGGGUCCUUUAUAUUUCCAUUGAAGUCAAGAGCAUAUCAAGCAUUUGAAGCCUGUGAAGAGAGGCCAUUCAUGUGAUAAAGGGACAUGCUGGGAGGCCAUCAGGACGUCUGCCACAAACAUCAUGUUCUUGGCGCAUUCCUUGCCUAAUCACAUGGACUGGUAAGGCAUCAUCCAAACCGGCCCUAUAUUUAUAGAACAUGUGAUGCAGUGGGUGCUCAGUAGAUAAAGGUUUAUGUUAUUCAAGAAUAAUAUUUCAAUACUGUAUGUUCCAAAACA